GACGAAGGUGGCGAGCGUUACUCGGAAUCACUAGGCGUAAAGCGCGUGUAGGCGGGUGCUUAAGUCCGUCGUGAAAUUUCCCGGCUCAACCGGGAAGGGUCGACGGAUACUGGGCAUCUUGAGUAUGGCAGGGGAAGCUGGAAUUCCCGGUGUAGCGGUGAAAUGCGUAGAGAUCGGGAGGAAGGCCGGUGGCGAAGGCGGCGCUCUGGAACAUUUCUGACGCUGAGGCUCGAAAGCGUGGGGAGCAAACAGG
rnacentral:rRNA from 1 species